rnacentral:rRNA from 1 species
UAGAACGGUCAACGUAGACGUGCCUGCGGAGGAUCAUUA